rnacentral:tRNA from 1 species
CUCGCGCUGUGCGGGCCGGCCCCGCGGACCGGCCCGUUCAAGCCGGGCUUCGGCUAGGCCGGGAGGCCGGGCUCGGGCCCGGCCCCUGGGCCCGAGCCC